rnacentral:snRNA from 1 species
AUCGCUUUUUGGCCUUUUGGCUAACAUCAAGUGUAGUUUCUGUUCUUAUCAGUUUAAUAUCUGAUACGUCCUCUAUCCAAGGACAAUAUAUUAAAUAGAUUUUUGGAGCAGGGAGAUGGAAUAGGAGCUUGUUCUGUCCACUCCAUGCAUCAAUCUGGUAUUGUGUGCCUCCAGGAGCAGCGCACUCCUU